UACGAAGGUCCCAAGCGUUAUCCGGAUUUAUUGGGUUUAAAGGGUGCGUAGGCGGGCUAUUAAGUCAGUGGUGAAAGCCCCAAGCUUAACUUGGGAACUGCCAUUGAUACUGAUGGUCUUGAGUACAUUUGAGGUGGGCGGAAUGUGUCAUGUAGCGGUGAAAUGCUUAGAUAUGACACAGAACACCGAUUGCGAAGGCAGCUCACUAAACUGUAACUGACACUGAGGCACGAAAGCGUGGGGAUCAAACAGG
rnacentral:rRNA from 1 species